rnacentral:rRNA from 1 species
AGGGUUUGAUUAUGGCUCAGGAUGAACGCUGGCGGCGUGCUUAACACAUGCAAGUCGAGCGAAGCACUAAGACGGAUUUCUUCGGAUUGAAGUCUUUGUGACUGAGCGGCGGACGGGUGAGUAACGCGUGGGUAACCUGCCUCAUACAGGGGGAUAACAGUUAGAAAUGACUGCUAAUACCGCAUAAGCGCACAGGACCGCAUGGUCUGGUGUGAAAAACUCCGGUGGUAUGAGAUGGACCCGCGUCUGAUUAGCUAGUUGGAGGGGUAACGGCCCACCAAGGCGACGAUCAGUAGCCGGCCUGAGAGGGUGAACGGCCACAUUGGGACUGAGACACGGCCCAG